rnacentral:rRNA from 1 species
UACGUAGGUGGCAAGCGUUAUCCGGAAUUAUUGGGCGUAAAGCGCGCGUAGGCGGUUUUUUAAGUCUGAUGUGAAAGCCCACGGCUCAACCGUGGAGGGUCAUUGGAAACUGGAAAACUUGAGUGCAGAAGAGGAAAGUGGAAUUCCAUGUGUAGCGGUGAAAUGCGCAGAGAUAUGGAGGAACACCAGUGGCGAAGGCGACUUUCUGGUCUGUNAACUGACGCUGAUGUGCGAAAGCGUGGGGAUCAAACAGGAUUAGAUAC